UUUCUAUAAAUACAAUGCUGUAAAGACAAUAAAGACGAACGUGAUUGGCACGCUAAAUAUGCUUGGUCUUGCAAAGAGAGUUGGCGCAAGGAUUUUGCUUACCUCAACCUUAGAGGUAUAUGGUGAUCCUCUUGUGCAU